UGCCGCCGGGUCAGUUCUUCAAGUUCGUUUCCAAGGAGGAGAGACGCCUCGCGCCAGGGCUCCGCCCCCUUCUCCUGAAUGCGCGAGCAGCUGCUUUCAAACCCAACUGCUCAAUUCCAUUCAUUCUCGAGAGGGAACAAAAAAGUGGCUAUUUAUUAGAAUACUUGUUUUGUAUUGUUCCGCGUCACACAAAAGGGGCUUUAUUAUGUAAGAAGGAACCCUUUCGCCGGGAGAAACAAUAACUUGAAAUUGUCUUUAGAGUCUAUAAUAAAUUUCAUUUUCUUGUCUCUCUCCUCAGUGUGUAGUGAGUGGUGGGACUGGGAGCUGGGUAUGGCUGGCCUUGGCACACUAAGGGUAGAUUUUUAGCAAGGAUGGCGGUCUGGCGAGUGGCUUUGGCUGGGUUAGGACAGCGAUAGCACCGGUUCCUUGUUUCUGGAGCAGAGAAACCAGAUCCGGCCUGUUCGUAGAACUGCAAACAAAAGCACUUGACUGACGGCCAGAUUUCUUCUCGUGGCUGCACUCGGGUUUCCACGCUCCCAGUAUGACGCUUGAGAGACGGCAGGUGUACUGUAUAUUUUUGAGAGGGCCAACUCCCUGGCGUGCAGUAUUUUAGAGUGCCCAUUUAGCCAGGCCCCCUGCUCUCCUGACAGCUGAUGGAAAAGGCAGUGUAACAAUGAGCCCCCACCGUGCCUCUCUGCCUGCCCCCAACCACCAGGGGAAGAGGAAGCAGCGGCAGCCGUGUGACACAUUAUUCUGUCCCCCCGGAACCUGCAGCCAGGCCAAGCCCCCCCUCCGGGUUCCCUUGGACCUCUAAGUGCCGAGCCAGGGACUGAGUGACAUUUCCAGAGUCCUGACCUUUGUUUUUCCAUUGACUGGGAAGACGUUUGAAGGAGGUACAGUGCACGCUGGUCGACUCUCUGCAAACUGCACACACUGGCAAUUACACACACAGUUUUAGUUUGUCUCGCACAAAAGGAAAACCGAGCGCUAUGCUGUCACAGAGCUUAUUUUCUCAUAAACUCUCUAUAUGGUUUACGUUUUACUAUGCCGAAUCUGUCCGAAAAGCCACGACAAACUUAACUAGACUAAUGAAAUGUAACCUAAGGGCACUUUGACUAAACUU